CGCAGCCGCGGUAAUUCCAGCUCCAAUAGCGUAUAUUAAAGUUGCUGCAGUUAAAAAGCUCGUAGUUGAAUUUCGGGACCAAUAUGUCGGUCGUGCCUCGGUACGUACUGGCAUCGUUGGUUUCUCCUUUCUGAAGAACCAUGAUGUCAUUUAUUUGGUGUCGUGGGGAAUCAGGACUGUUACUUUAGAAAAAUUAGAGUGUUUAAAGCAGGCUCACGCUUGAAUACAUUAGCAUGGAAUAAUGAAAUAGGACGUUUGAUUCUAUUUUGUUGGUUUCUAGGAUCGACGUAAUGAUUAAUAGGGAUAGUUGGGGGCAUUAGUAUUCAAUUGUCAGAGGUGAAAUUCUUGGAUUUAUUGAAGACUAACUACUGCGAAAGCAUUUGCCAAGGAUGUUUUCAUUAAUCAAGAACGAAAGUUAGGGGAUCGAAGACGAUCAGAUACCGUCGUAGUCUU
rnacentral:rRNA from 1 species